rnacentral:rRNA from 1 species
GACGAACGCUGGCGGCGUGCUUAACACAUGCAAGUCGAACGGAAAGGCCCUUCGGGGUACUCGAGUGGCGAACGGGUGAGUAACACGUGGGUGAUCUGCCCUGCACUUUGGGAUAAUCCUGGGAAACUGGGUCUAAUACCGAAUAGGACCGCGCGCUUCAUGGUGUGUGGUGGCAAGCUUUUGCGGUGUGGGAUGGGCCCGCGGCCUAUCAGCUUGUUGGUGGGGUAAUGGCCUACCAAGGCGACGACUGGUAGCCGGCCUGAGAGGGUGACCGGCCACACUGGGACUGAGAUACGGACCAGACUCCUACGGGAGGCAGCAGUGGGGAAUCUUGCACAAUGGGCCCAAGCCUGAUGCAGCGACGCCGCGUGCGGGAUGACGGCCUUCGGGUUGUAAACCUCUUUCACCAGGGACGAAGCGCAAGUGACGGUACCUGGAGAAGAAGCACCGGCCAACUACGUG